GAGCUACAUUGCUUAAUUCGCUAAUUACAGCAGAAGUAUAUGAUGUUGCUUCAAUGCUGCUUCGACAGUAUCCAAAACUUGGCGUCACCCCUGAUCAUAAUGGUGACUACACUCUCAGGUUACUGGCUCUCAAGCCAUCUGCAUUUCCUAGUGGAACCAAACUUUCUUUCUGGAAAAAUUGGAUCUAUUCAUGUGUAAUGGUACAUUCUCCAUCGGGGAGUCCAACAGAUUCUCAUGAAGAUGAGGUAACAAAAACUCAAAGAGCAAGCAUGACUGAAGGCCAC